GGGAUAUGAUGAGUGGUCUAAUCUCGUAAUUUAAUUUAAUAUGCGAGAUGGGUGUCCGCCCCAAGCCUGUUACGACAGCUGGGCACUCACCUUUUAUCAAUCUGAUCCC